GCAGUCGAGCGAGAAGUGUAGCAAUACAUGAGUAAAGCGGCGCACGGGUGAGUAACACGUGGAUAACCUGCCUCAAAGUGGGGAAUAACACCGGGAAACCGGUGCUAAUACCGCAUAUUCUGACGAGAUCUGCGGAUUUUGUCAGGAAAGGAGCAAUUCGCUAUGAGAGGGGUCCGCGGCUGAUUAGCUAGUUGGUGAGGUAAUGGCUCACCAAGGCUUCGAUCAGUAGCCGGUCUGAGAGGACGGUCGGCCACACUGGAACUGAGACACGGUCCAGACUCCUACGGGAGGCAGCAGUGGGGAAUUUUUCGCAAUGGGGGAAACCCUGACGAAGCAAUGCCGCGUGGAUGAUGAAGUAUCUCGGUACGUAAAAUCCUUUCGACGGGGACGAAACCGCAAGGUUGACGGUACCCGUAGAAGAAGCCCCGGCUAACUCCGUGCCAGCAGCCGCGGUAAUACGGGGGGGGCAAGCGUUGUUCGGAAUUACUGGGCGUAAAGGGUGCGUAGGCGGCUUUCUAAGUCGGAUGUGAAAACUCUGGGCUCAACCCAGAGCCUGCAUCUGAAACUGGAGAGCUAGGGUUCUGGAGGGGAAAGCGGAAUUCCUGGUGUAGCGGUGAAAUGCGUAGAUAUCAGGAGGAACACCGGUGGCGAAGGCGGCUUUCUGGACAGAUACCGACGCUGAGGCACGAAAGCUAGGGGAGCAAACAGGAUUAGAUACCCUGGUAGUCCUAGCCCUAAACGAUGGAUACUUGCUGUGGGGGGGAUUGAAGCCCCUUGUGGCGAAGCUAACGCAUUAAGUAUCCCGCCUGGGGAGUACGGUCGCAAGGCUGACACUCAAAGGAAUUGACGGGGGCCCGCACAAGCGGUGGAGUAUGUGGUUUAAUUCG
rnacentral:rRNA from 1 species